UACGAAGGGGGCUAGCGUUGCUCGGAAUCACUGGGCGUAAAGCGCACGUAGGCGGAUUGUUAAGUCGGUGGUGAAAUCCUGGAGCUCAACUCCAGAACUGCCUUCGAUACUGAGAGUCUCGAGUCCGGGAGAGGUGAGUGGAACUGCGAGUGUAGAGGUGAAAUUCGUAGAUAUUCGCAAGAACACCAGUGGCGAAGGCGGCUCACUGGCCCGGUACUGACGCUGAGGUGCGAAAGCGUGGGGAGCAAACAG
rnacentral:rRNA from 1 species